rnacentral:rRNA from 1 species
AACGAACGCUGGCGGCAGGCUUAACACAUGCAAGUCGAGCGCCCCGCAAGGGGAGCGGCAGACGGGUGAGUAACGCGUGGGAAUCUACCCAUCUCUACGGAAUAACGCAUGGAAACGUGUGCUAAUACCGUAUACGUCCUUCGGGAGAAAGAUUUAUCGGAGAUGGAUGGGCCCGCGUUGGAUUAGCUAGUUGGUGGGGUAAAGGCCUACCAAGGCGACGAUCCAUAGCUGGUCUGAGAGGAUGAUCAGCCACACUGGGACUGAGACACGGCCGAGACUCCUACGGGAGGCAGCAGUGGGGAAUAUUGGACAAUGGGCGCAAGCCUGAUCCAGCCAUGCCGCGUGAGUGAUGAAGGCCCUAGGGUUGUAAAGCUCUUUCACCGGUGAAGAUAAUGACGGUAACCGGAGAAGAAGCCCCGGCUAACUUCGUGCCAGCCGCCGCGGUAACAC